rnacentral:rRNA from 1 species
UCGGGAAUUUUGGGCAAUGGGCGAAAGCCUGACCCAGCAACGCCGCGUGAAGGAUGAAGUAUUUCGGUAUGUAAACUUCGUAAGAAUAGGAAGAAUAAAUGACGGUACUAUUUAUAAGGUCCGGCUAACUACGUGCCAGCAGCCGCGGUAAUACGUAGGGACCAAGCGUUGUUCGGAUUUACUGGGCGUAAAGGGCGCGUAGGCGGCAUGACAAGUCACUUGUGAAAUCUCUGGGCUUAACCCAGAACGGCCAAGUGAUACUGUCGCGCUAGAGUGCAGAAGGGGCAAUCGGAAUUCUUGGUGUAGCGGUGAAAUGCGUAGAUAUCAAGAGGAACACCUGAGGUGAAGACGGGUUGCUGGGCUGACACUGACGCUGAGGCGCGAAAGCCAGGGGAGCAAACGGGAUUAGAUACCCCCGUAGUCCCUGAGCGGGCUGGCAAGGCGCAU